UUGAGCGGGUAACGGAUAUGAUAUUUCAACGGAAAUCAUGUCGUUUCCUAGCUAUGCUUUGUUUUAUUUCCCUGACUCGGAGAUAGUGGACAGCACCGAUAUCAUUUUAAGAGAACACAGACGAGCAGAGUACCAGCUCCCGCGAACAACUCAGAAUAGCGGUGCGCCUGACAAGUCGCGGCCGACAUGGACAGAGCAAGAUACUGGCAGCAAAAAUACUACUACUUGGUGACGUUUACAAAGACUUAAUCAUGAAGAGAGAUGCUUUUAAGAGAGGAGAAGACAUCUGGAAGACCACUGCAGAGAAAGGGAAAAACCACCUGAAGCCAUAAAGAGUGCAAGUACAUCUCAAAGUGCAGCUGAUGCUGCAAUGGGAGACAAACUUAAAAGAGACCUCCAGAACCUGCAAAGACAGAAAGCACCUGUAACCUCUACUCCAAUGUCAGAGUUUCCUGGGAUUGUAUCAUCUCUCAAAGAUGUCCUAGAGUCCAUGAAAAGAGGCCCAUACAGCUCAAGAUCAAGUUCCAGUGAGCUGUCUCUUGCUGAGUCCUCAGAAAUGACACUGUGAUAAAAGAGUUCCCAAAGACGACAGUGUCUGAGGUGCGGGCCCUCAUUUGGAGGAAGUGCAACAACGAGUCAACCUCAAAGAACAGUCACUCUCCACUGGAAGGAUGAAGAAGAUGUGAUGUUUGAGUUGUUACAGUUCUUGGUUAACUGUUUGGCUAUUGCUAGUUUGUUAAAAAUGCAUUUGUUUGUCUUCUGUGGCUCCAUAUGUGGUUCAAUUGUUUGAUGAAAUUGCUAGUUUCCUACAAAUGCUUUAUGAUUUAUUUUUUAUUAUUCUUAUUUUGUGUUAAAUGGAGCUCUGCAGAUCACUUAUCUUUAUUUUU